CGGCAUGGCGCAAUGGUAGCGCAACUGAUUUGUAAUCAGUGGGUUGGGGGUUCAAGUCCCUCUGUCGGC
rnacentral:tRNA from 1 species